rnacentral:lncRNA from 1 species
GCACAACAGCGACCACCGUUCGUCUGGGCUCUUGCCACCACUGGGUGGAUCUGCCGGUGCUGGGACGUGACAGACACGGAAUUGCACCGGGGGUGCCCGUCUGGGCAGGGCUUCUUCCACUCAGCACAGCCUUGCUGAGCCUCACCCACGCUGUCAUUUGUCCCUUUCUGCUACAGAGUGACAUUCCACUGCACAAAACGCCACGGCGUGUUCAUCCAUUCUCCCGUCGGUGGGCACCUGGCCGGUCUCUGAUCUUGAACGAAGCUGCUCCGCCCGUUCUUGUUCCAGCUGCUACACCUUUAAGAGGAAAAGUGAGCACAAUUUAUUUUUUGUUUUGUUUUGUUUUGGGGACAGGGUCUUGCUCUGUUGCCAAGGCUGGAGUGCAGUGGCGGGAUCUCAGCUCACUGGAACCUCCGCCUACUGGGCUCAAGUGAUCCUCCCACCUCAGCCUCCCCAGUAGCUUGGAUUACAGGCGUGCACCACCACAUCAGGCUAAUUUUUUUUUUUAUUUUUUAUGAAGACAGAGUUUCACCACGUUGGCCAGGCUAGUCUCAAACUCCCGGGCUCAAGGGAUCCGACCACCUCAGCCUCCCAAAGUGCUGGGAGGGAGCACAGUUUAAAGUUAAGCCGCCACCAUCGGAGAACCCUGCUGACCCACACACCUUCUCCUGCGCCCUGGAAACCAUCACCAGACCAGGGCCGGACACACAGGAUGCCUCGAACCAAUUUUAGUGAAAUCGUGAAAUCUGUUUUUCAUGCAUGAAGUCCCACCAUGCAACCCUCCAGGGGGAGACCCAGGAGUCCAGGCAGCCUGAGUGACUCACACAAGCCAGAAGUUUCUUCUUUAACAGAUAAAACCUGCCUUGUCCCAAGAGACGUCGUCCCGUAUUAACUUUCUAGCCUUCCAGAGACUUUGGGUCCCAGCUAACUUGGGUUCUGAUAUCCGAAGCUCUGGGAGGCAUAUUUAUAUUUAGCUUUUUUGUGAUCCUGACAGUGUGUGGGCCAGCAUGCCUUAGCCCCCGAAGGACUCUGAUAAAUAUUUGUAGAAGAAAGAGGGUGAGGAAGGGAGAGCGAGACAGCGGUACAAAGGAAGGGAAAGACCCAGGGGGUCUCCUGCAGGCGCACUGUUUGCCUGGCCAGUGUGUAAAUAUGUGAGUACGAAAACUAUACACAUUUUUUUUUUUUUUUUUGGAGACAGGGUCUUGCUCUGUCACCCAGGCUGGAGUGCAGUGGCGCAAUCUCGGCUCACUGCAACCUUGACCUCCCAGGCUCAAGCAACCCUCCCACCUCAGUCUCCCAAGUAGCUGAAACC